GUCAAACAGUUAUGUGGGUGACAAUUUUUUAUCCGUUUAUUUAUGAUCGUGUAGGCAGUGAAUCAUAAAAUAAACAGCGUUGUUACCGGAUGAUGGUUAUUCCUCUCUUCAUUUGCCCCAGCCUGCUUGUUAACAUGUCACGGGAGGCGAGGGAGCGUCCCAAGUGAAAUCUCGGUGGGAGGCGGGUGCAGAGGAUUAUGGGCAAUUAAUUCCAGCAGGCUGUCAGCAACAACGGGAGCAGACACAAACGGAAGCAGCAGAGGACGGGAGACCCGUCGGCCAUCUUUAAGGAAAGUUACACUGUUGGACACACUUGGACUGCUUUUUCUUUUUUUUUUUCUUUUUUUUACCAGUGGUAAAAAUGGCAUCCACGCUGCAGAAGCUUCUCACUCCCGUGUGUGGCGCUUUACCCGAACCCCCGAGGAAUAAAGUGACAGUGGUGGGAGUUGGACAAGUGGGCAUGGCUUGUGCUGUUAGCAUCCUGCUCAGGGAGCUAGCAGACGAGUUGGCCCUGGUGGACGUGAUGGAGGAUAAGCUCAAGGGUGAGAUGAUGGACCUUCAGCACGGAAGCCUCUUCCUCAAAACCCCCAAAAUAAUUGCAGAUAAAGACUACUCGGUCACAGCCAACUCCCGCAUCGUGGUGGUGACCGCAGGCGUCCGGCAGCAGGAGGGCGAGAGCAGGCUCAACCUGGUCCAGAGAAACGUCAACAUCUUCAAGCACAUCGUCCCGCAGAUCGUCAGAUACAGCCCGGAUUGCAUCAUCAUUGUGGUCUCCAACCCAGUGGACGUGUUGACCUACGUGACCUGGCGGCUUAGCGGCCUCCCCAAGCACCGCAUCAUCGGCAGCGGCACCAACUUGGACUCGGCCCGAUUCCGCUUCCUGAUGGCCUCCCAGCUGGGCGUCCACGCCAGCAGCUUCAACGGGUGGAUCCUCGGGGAGCACGGCGACACCAGCGUGCCCGUGUGGAGCGGAGCCAACGUGGCCGGGGUCAACCUGCAGGCGUUGAACCCGGACAUCGGCACUGACGGCGAUGAGGAGAACUGGAGGGAGACGCACAAGAUGGUGGUGGACAGCGCCUACGAGGUGAUCAGGCUGAAGGGUUACACCAACUGGGCCAUCGGCCUGAGCGUGGCCGACCUGACGGAGAGCAUCCUGAGGAACUUGAACAGGAUCCAUCCCGUCUCCACCAUGGUGCAGGGCAUGUACGGCAUCCAUGAGCACGUCUACCUCAGCCUGCCGUGCGUGCUGAACGCCGGGGGCGUGGCCAGCGUGGUCAACGUCACGCUGACGGACGACGAGGUUUCCCAGCUGCAGGCCAGCGGUGCCACGCUGUGGGACAUCCAGAAGGACCUGCAAGACAUCUGAGGGGCCAGCAGGGGGAGCCGCAGCUACACGACACUGUUGUGUGCGAGCAGGAACGCUCACACAGUUCAGGCGCAUGCGCCAUGCAGUCUAGCUCAUUUUAAACGGUAAAUAUUAGGGCUGUCAAAGUUAACUCGUUAAUGGAAGUUCGAUUCUUUGAACGUGGGCUCCUCCUGUUUGACCCUCGGCCCCCACCGUAGUUUGCUUGAAGCCACAAGCUGGAACAAAUAUUGAUGGCAAAUGGAGAAAGAAAAGAGUAUUUAGAUUGGUAAAGUUAGCUUCAAAGCCCUGGUAGAUGGCUCUUGUGGCAAGACCAAAGUUAUUUGGAUCUACUGUCGCCGUGUUUGACUUAUCCUGGAUUCCAUGGCCUGCCAGAGACCGGAGCAGUGCAGGGAUAGAUGGGAGCUUUUUUUGACAACAUGACACAUCAUCAAUGCAAGCAUUAGAAGAUGAGUAGGUCCAGCAAGAUGGAGAUCAAGUACCUUCCAUGGAUCAUCCCCGCUUUGCUCAAUCAGCUCCAGAUACAAAGACGCUGAUGCUGAAGACCUCCAUGACAGUCUGUCGCUGGCCUGCUGGUUGCCGGUGUUGCUGCAGAGGUGAAAUGGACGACCAGAUAGAUGCCAAGCCAAGUCAUCUGGAUCCUCUCAAUGCCAAUCAGGCACAGAACAUGGACGCAUACAAAGUUCUGGACGUCUUGGUUCCAUCAGUCCAUUGGUCCCCAGUCCAUCAAUAGAAGACAGGAAGUCCACAGACAGGUAAAACAAAAAAACAAAACCGUUUCCUCCUCAUAGAAAAAAAAUGCUGUUCCGGAGUGGCAAUGACCACAUAUGGACAAACGAGAUAAAUAGGAAAAUGAAAGAAUGCUGAGGUUAUACCAUGUUGUUGCUUUCUCCGAUUUUAUCCACCAGCUGAAAGAGAAGAAAAGGGUCAAUAAAGACUAGAAGGGAACAAAACUGUAUUCCUUUUUGUGGCUUUUUAAAACAGAGGAAAUACAGCUGAAUAGGUGCAGAUUCUGGAAGAUCAACAACUCAAUACAAUGGACUUUUUCUUGUUAGAUACAUUUUUUUUGUCAUUAGUAAUAUAUAUUUUUUUAUUCUUCAUCUUCAACCCCCUGCACUAUUUUGAAAUGAUUCUAAAACAAACAUAACACUAGUUACACUAGUCAUCCAUACUUACAUUUCUGAUCCCUGGUAGGCUAAGCAAGGAGCCCAGCACCGGUACCCGUCUGAUGAAGCCCACCGCAACCGGGAAGAAUCCCCUGUUUUGGGGGAGAACAUGACACUAGUUAACACAAACGCAGAUUGAUUGAUUUCUUGUUUCCCCCUGAGCUGACCUAAAUAAGAGGAAGAAGCCGUAGAUCUCAAGAACGACGCCAAUGAUGGGCCAGCCGAUCAGAACGACAAACACUCCUCCCAGGAAGAAGCUGGUGGCUUUGGCUUUAUGCCUCUGGAAGAAGAAUCUGAAUGUUCUCUCCAGGCCGAUGACAAAGGACAAACCCGAGACAAACAGAAUCUGCCAAAAAAAGACACAAAUGGAGGGGGGAUGAGGACCUUGCUUCACUCUCUGACACUGCGAGGUCAGCUCACAUUUCCAAUGGCCAGGAGAGCUUUGUCGAAGAAGAGCAUCAUCCCGAAGAAGAGGAAAAACACCCCGAAGCCUGUCAGCCCCAUACCAAUUUCUGCAGGAAGCAAGGAAACAAUAU